CAGACUCCUACGGGAGGCAGCAGUGGGGAAUAUUGGACAAUGGGCGAAAGCCUGAUCCAGCCAUGCCGCGUGUGUGAAGAAGGUCUUCGGAUUGUAAAGCACUUUAAGUUGGGAGGAAGGGCAGUAAAUUAAUACUUUGCUGUUUUGACGUUACCGACAGAAUAAGCACCGGCUAACUCUGUGCCAGCAGCCGCGGUAAUACAG
rnacentral:rRNA from 1 species